AUGGACAUUUUUCAUCAUCUGUGAUAUAUUUCCCUGAUCUCUCUUCCCAUCUCAUGUUCUCUCUUCCAAACCAACACAUGGAACCCUCUUGCACACCCAAAAAGUUAUUUUUUUCUUCUUCUACGUUAGUAUUGUUUGAAAAUUAGCAUGAUGCCCUCUUGUUUUGGAAACAAUCGAUGAGAUCUUUUGUGCUAAGUCAAGCAAAAUAUCCCCCAAAUACCUACCUUUAUCUUAAUCAAAGUCAUUCAUUCAAUCGUUCAUCAAAUACAGUCAAUUCCAAUGAAAAACCAACAACAGCAGCAUGCGUUGGUGGUGCACUUCUUUCAGCUUUCCUGCAGGUUGCAUUUGACAGGCUAGCUUCUCCUAAGGUUCUGCACUUCUUUCGUCGAAGGAAGCUCGAUGAAGCACUGCUCAGCAAAUUGAACAUCAAAAUGUUGUCCAUCAAUUCUCUUGCUGAUGAUGCAGAGCAAAAGCAGUUCCGAGAUACACGGAUCAAGGCAUGGCUUUUUGCUGUCAAAGAUGCUGUGCUUGACGCAGAGGACCUCUUGGAUGAAAUAGACUAUGAACUCACCAAAUGUGAAGUGGAAGCUCAGUCUGAAUCUCAAAGCCUUAGUAAAAAGGUAUCAAGUUUCUUCCAUUCUACUUUCACUUCAUUUAACAGGAAAAUUAACUCAGGCUUGAAACAAGUCCUCGAGAAGCUAGAAUAUCUCUCUAGCCAAAAGGGUGAUCUUGGUUUGAAAGAGGCUACUUAUUCUGGUCUUCGACCAGGCAGUGUAGCGCAACAAAAAUUGCCAUCAACUUCCUUGGUGGCUGAAAAUGUUAUUUAUGGAAGAGAUGAUGACAAAGAAACUAUCUUUAAUUGGCUCACAUAUGAAACUGACAAUCGUAACCAGUUAUCAAUACUUUCUAUUGUGGGCAUGGGUGGAGUGGGUAAGACCACACUUGCCCAACAUGUGUACAAUGACCCAAGGAUGGAGGAGGCUGAUUUUAGCAUCAAAGCUUGGGUUUGUGUUUCAGAUGAUUUUGAUGUUAUGGUGGUGACAACUACAAUUCUUGAGGCAAUCACUAAAUCCAUAGAUGAUAGUAGAAACCUAGAAAUGGCUCAUGGAAGACUGAAAGAAAAACUGUUGGGGAAAAAGUUCUUUCUCGUUUUGGAUGAUGUGUGGAAUGAAAGACGAGAGAAAUGGGAAGCUGUGCAAACUCCUCUUAAUUUUGGGGCAUCUGGAAGUAAAAUUCUUGUAACAACACGUAGUGAGAAAGUUGCUUCUACAAUGCGGUCAAGUAAAGUGCACCGCCUAAUGCACUUACAAGAAGAUCAUUGCUGGGAUGUUUUUGCAAAACAUGCACUCCAAGAUGAUCAUCCUCAAUUGAAUGCUGAACUGAAGGAUAUUGGCAUAAAGAUAGUUAAAAAGUGUAAAGGAUUACCUCUAGCCCUGAAAGCAAUUGGAAGUCUUCUGCGCACAAAGUCAUCUUUUUCGGAAUGGGAAUGUGUAUUGGUAAGCAAGAUAUGGGACACGCCAAUAGAAGAGAAUGAAAUUAUGCCUGCCCUUUUACUGAGCUAUCAUCACCUUCCUUCGCAUCUCAAGAGGUGUUUUGCUUAUUUUGCUUUGUUUCCCAAAGAUUACAAGUUUGACAAGCAGAGUAUAAUUUUGUUAUGGAUAGCUGAAAAUUUUCUACAAUGCCCCCAACGUAAUAAGAGUCCAGAAGAAAUUGGUGAAUUGUACUUUGAUGAUCUAUUAUCAAGGUCUUUCUUUCAACAGUCAAGUGGAUUGGAAUCAUGUUUUGUCAUGCAUGACCUUCUCAACGAUUUGGCAAAAUAUGUUUGUGGAGAUAUAUACUUCAACUUAGAAGUUGAUAAAGCACUGUGUAUACCAAAAAUGGCUCGUCAUUUUUCAUUUGCAAUCAAAGACGUUAAGUAUUUUGACAGUUUACAUGAAGCGAAAAGGUUGCGAACAUUUAUUCCACUUCCUACUUUUGUGAUAGUGUCCUAUUUCAACGAUCCAUGGCAAUGUAAGAUUCCAGUUCAUGAGUUGUUCUCCAAGUUUAAGUUCAUACACACCUUAUCUUUGUUUUGUUGUUCUGGCCUCCUAGAGGUGCCUGACUCAAUAGGUGAUUUUAAACAUCUACGUUCUUUAGACCUUUCCAGGACUGACAUAAGAAAACUACCCGAUUCAAGUUGUUUGCUCUACAACUUGCAAAUACUAAAGUUGAACUUUUGUCUCCUUUUGAAGGAGUUGCCUUCAAAUUUGUACAAACUCAACAAUUUACGUUGCCUUGAAUUUAUAGCUACUUCAGUGAGAAAGGUGCCGAUGCAUAUGGGGAAGAUGAAGAAUCUCCAAGUACUGAGUUCGUUCUAUGUUGGCAAAAGUAGCGAAUUUGGUAUUCAACAGCUCGUAGGGCUCAAUCUUCAUGGAGGGCUAUCAAUUGGUAAUAUGCAGAAUAUUGUGAAUCCCUCGGAUGCUUUACAAGUAGAUUUGAAAAAUAAAAAGCACCUUAUAAAGCUAGAGUUAGAAUGGAAUUCAAACCAUAUCCCAGACAAUCCAAGGAAUGAAAAACAAGUACUCGAGUAUCUACAACCUCCCAAACACUUAAAGAAUUUCUCAAUCAGUCACUAUGGUGGUACACAGUUUCCAAGUUGGUUAUUUGAUAAUACCUUAUCAAACUUGGUGUCACUAAGCUUGAUAGGCUGUAAGUAUUGCCUGCAUUUGCCUCCCCUCGGGCUUUUGCCAUUUCUAAAGCAGCUGGUGAUUAUAGAGCUUGAUGGGAUAGUGGCUGUUGGUGCUGAGUUCCAUGGGAGUAGCUCUUCUUCAUUUACAUGCUUGGAAACAUUGUACUUCUAUAAUAUGAAGGAGUGGGAAGAAUGGGAUUGUGAAACUGAUUUUCCACGUCUUCAACAUCUUUCUAUAGUACAUUGCCCCAAGCUCAAAGGGCUGCCAAAGCAACUUCUUCACGUAAAGCAAAUAAUUAUCUGUGAAUGUGAAAGGUUGACCAUUACCGGACACAACAUGGAAUCAUCCAUAACUAAUAAUUCUCUUGAAGUGUUGCACAUUUAUUCUUGUUUGUACAUGAAUAUUCCAUUGAGAGUUCGCUACAAUUUACUUGUAACACUGGAGAUAGAUGGAGCCUUUGACUCUCCAAUGACUUUUCCUCUAGAUUUCUUCCCAAAACUCUGUUCACUCAAACUCGGGUGUUGUAAUCUGCAAAUGAUUUCACAGGAUCACACUCAUAAUCAUCUCAAGGAUUUGUGUAUCAGCAACUCACCACAAUUUGAAUCAUUUCCCAGGGAAGGAUUAUCUGCCCCCAGGCUGGUAAAAUUUAGUAUUAAAGAAUUGAUGAACUUGAAAUUAUUGCCUAAACGCAUGGAUAUCCUCCUUCCAUCUCUUACAGACCUACAAAUAUUAGAUUGUCCACAAGUGGAGUUGUUCUCUGAUGGAGGUUUGCCAUCAAAUCUAAAUACCAUGGAUCUCUCAGCCUGCUCCAAAUUUAUGGCCUCAAUGAAAAUGGCUUUGGGAGCCAACAAUUCUCUAGAAGUAAUGUCUGUUCGAAAAUUGGAUGUGGAGUCUUUUCCUGAUGAAGGUUUCUUGCCUUUCUCUCUUACUUCUUUAGAAAUCAGGAACUGUUCAGAUCUAAAAAACCUUGACUACAACGGUAUCUGUCACCUCUCCUCUCUUCAGAAAUUGUUUUUGUUUAACUGCCCCAGCCUCCAAUGUUUACCAGAGGAGGGUUUGCCCAAUUCCAUUUUAGAACUUAAAAUUGUUGGCUGUCCAUUGCUUGAGCAAUGUCAAGGCUAAGACUGGGAAUUGAUUGGAGCUGAGAUAUGAACUCCAAGUUCGAAAUCACACAUCAGUUGUGAAGAUUUGUAGUAUCCUCAAGAUGAAUCAAUUAUUGCUUCAUUGGGCCAUCAGCUGCUCCAGGUUGCACAUAACUAAAAAAAAAGAAGAUAAAACUCAUACAGCCAUGCUUCUGAAGCUCACGUCAAAAUUUUUUCAGCAUGUACAUUCUGAAUCUGGAAAAUUGAGCAAACUUAAAGAAUAGAUUAGUUUACCCCAUAAAUUACAAAAAUGGGAUAGCUAACUUAAAAUUUACAAUUCAGGGGUAAGUUGUACGGAGUAGUGAUAAUUUCCAAAUUGAAGACAGUGUGAGUGAGGACGACUUCUACAUAUAAUUCUGAAAAGUUGAAGUUUUCAAGACUAAUGACUACUUCGUUGUAAAUAUGUUGAAUGAAAAUCAUUAAAAGUGGUAACAACUUUCAAUUUAUAUGAUGUCGUAUACGGUAGUGACGACUUUCAAUUGAACCAAAGUCGUCCUGACUCGUGACAACUUCAGUGUACAAUUUUUCAAGAUAAAGUCAUUGUUAGUGAUAACAACUUCCA